rnacentral:rRNA from 1 species
UACGUAGGGCGCAAGCGUUAUCCGGAAUCACUGGGCGUAAAGCGCACGUAGGCGGACUUGUAGGUCAAUUGUGAAAUACCCAAGCUCAACUUGGGAACUGCAGUUGAAACCACUUGUCUUGAAUACUUGAGAGGGUGGGGGAAUACCUGGUGGAGAAGUGAAAUUCGUAGAGAUCAGGUGGAACACCGGAGGCGAAGGCGCCUGCCUGGCAAUGUAUUGACGCUGAGGUGCGAAAGUGCGGGGAGCAAACAGG